GUAACGCGUGAGGAACCUGCCUCAAANAGGGGGACAACAGUUGGAAACGACUGCUAAUACCGCAUAAGCCCACGGCUCGGCAUCGAGCAGNGGGAAAAGGAGCAAUCCGCUUUGAGAUGGCCUCGCGUCCGAUUAGCUAGUUGGUGAGGUAAUGGCCCACCAAGGCGACGAUCGGUAGCCGGACUGAGAGGUUGAACGGCCACAUUGGGACUGAGACACGGCCCAGACUCCUACGGGAGGCAGCAUG
rnacentral:rRNA from 1 species